rnacentral:rRNA from 1 species
GAGUUUGAUCAUGGCUCAGAUUGAACGCUGGCGGAAUGCUUUACACAUGCAAGUCGAGCGGCAGCGCGGGGCAACCUGGCGGCGAGCGGUGAACGGGUGAGUAAUGCAUCGGAACAUGUCCAUGUCGUGGGGGAUAGCCCGGCGAAAGCCGGAUUAAUACCGCAUAUGCCCGAGAGAGGAAAGUGGGGGACCGCAAGGCCUCACGCGAUUGGGUUGGCCGAUGUCCGAUUAGCUAGUUGGCGGGGUAAGAGCCCACCAAGGCGAUGAUCGGUAGCUGGUCUGAGAGGAUGAUCAGCCACACUGGGACUGAGACACGGCCCAGACUCCUACGGGAGGCAGCAGUGGGGAAUUUUGGACAAUGGGGGAAACCCUGAUCCAGCCAUUCCGCGUGAGUGAAGAAGGCC